UGGGGGAUCGUUCAACGGUAGGACAGCGGCCUUUGGAGCCGCGAAUCCAGGUUCGAAUCCUGGUCCCCCAG
rnacentral:tRNA from 1 species